UAUCAGCCGCUAUCAGUGAUGACCUCACCGU
rnacentral:piRNA from 1 species